rnacentral:lncRNA from 1 species
GAGAUGGGUGCGACUUGCGAGGUCCAAUGGAGGAACAAGAGAAGAGCAUAGGUUUGAUAUGGAAAAGAUAAGGAAACUGAACGGUAAGGCCAUGAUAAGGGGAUUAUUUAUUUAUUUAUUUAUUAUAGCAGAAUUAUUUAUUGUUUCUAAAUUUUUUUUUUUUUUUGGGUUUGCUAAAUACGAGGGUGAUGGUUGAUUCAGUUACGGCCCUAAUUGCCGUCCACGCCCCUCCUAAAUGAAGUGGGGAAGACCCUUUCUACUUCUUACAUGACCACAUGAAGACGAUGUAUGGUCAACUUUAGAUUACACACACCGUCAAUGAGAGUAACUACAGCCGCCAAUCAGAGUGAGGUUAGUGUUAAUUUCCAGCCACAUGGUACUCUUUUAUAGCACGUUGAAUACACGAUGACUCGGUGAGAAAUUUAAAAAAAAAACGCAACUGUCCACAGUAUAAUGUAUUUUUAGAAAAUGGGGCCCACUGCACAGUGAGAGUAUGAGAUCAAGUGGGGAAUUCAGACGUCAACAUCGGUUUUAGGGACCAUCCACACCACCACCACCAUCACCCCUUUGUGGGACCCUUUCAAGGUUACGGAUAUUCAGGCUUAAAAGAUAACGGCGUUACAAGUGAGCUGCGGCAAUCCCUGGAGAGUCUUCUCCGUUCUGUGGACGUAAGUAGUGCGUACUCCGUUGUGUUGUUUUUUCGCCGUAUGUUUGUUGCAGAGUAGUCUCUGUUUUUUUUUUUUCUUUCUGUGUUAAAUUAGGCUAGAGUUCAUCGGUACAGACUGGUUUCUGUGAAACGGUCUGUUAAAGGUUGACGUUAUGGCAUUUUGGAUUCAUUUAUAUUUAAAAAAAAUCUCGAAAUUAAAUAAAAGAAAAAAGGGAAAAUUAUACUAUACUGAAAGCAGGAGAAACAGCACUGACAGCUUCAACUCUCAUGUUGGCCCAUCACCAUGUGAUUCUGCCACGUUAUGCAGAUUCUCAUCAUACGGUGGUCCCCUCCACCAUUUCCCAUCCAUCACCUUCACCUUGUUGUUUGUUAAAUAGUACUGCGUUUUAGUUUAUUUUAUUUUUAUUUACAGCUGUUAUUUUUGUGAUUUUUAAGCAAAGUUAGUGGCAGGUGCAAUCCCGAAAGUGAUCACUGUACCCUUCCUUGACCCGAACCUGGUGCUGGCCAAUUGGCG